rnacentral:tRNA from 1 species
GGGCUGAGUGUUAUAAAAAGUGUCUAGUUGUUAUUCUCCAAAAACUUCUCUUAAUCAGUGGGUUGCAGGUUCGAUUCCUGCACAGCCCACCA